CUUGUGUAUUGAAAUCUUGGGGUUGAAAUUAAGCUGGAUCAGUGUUUUUUUAGAUAAAAUUCAGCUUUUUAUAAACUACUGACAACCUUUCGAAACGCAAAAUGUCAAUACUUCAAGUAGUUGUGGGAGUUGUUGGGGAAGUGAAUCGGCAAAUCAAUAGUGGAGUGAUACCAGUCAUGCGCGCAUAUUUAACCGGAAGUCGAUCAUCUGCAGAAAUAAAGCUUUGCUCUCAUCAUUUCGGGCUUAAAGUCAUAUCUUUUAGUGGGAUUACCAUUUAUAUGUAUAAUAGUUGCAAUCUCGUGGUGCAUGGGUGCCAAUUCUUCUAGGAAAAAAAUGAGUUCACCGACUAAGUUAGCUUCUAGCAAACAUACUGCCACGGUAAUAUUCUUACAUGGGCUCGGCGACACAGGACAUGGUUGGCUUGAGGCAUUUACCCAGAUAGCAAAGCCGCAUAUCAAAUACAUUUGUCCAAAUGCGCCAACCAUGCCAGUCUCCCUGAAUGGUGGGUUUGAAAUGCCAUCUUGGUUUGAUAUCAAGGGUCUUGACCCCAAAUCUCCUGAGGAUGAAGAUGGAAUAAAGAAGGCAGCUAAAUCUUUACAAGACAUUAUAUCAGAAGAAGAAACUAAAAAUAACAUAAAAAGUGACAGAAUUAUAGUUGGUGGGUUUUCUCAGGGAGGAGCAGUGGCGUUAUAUUCAGCGCUGACUACAGAUAAGCCACUAGCAGGAAUUCUGGGUCUGAGCACCUGGCUGCCUCUACACAAGUCUUUCCCUCAGGGGUGUAAGGGUAACAAAGCUACUCCCAUACUGCAGUGCCACGGUAAAUCAGAUCCCGUUGUUCCUUUCACAAUGGGCAACAUGACAGCUGACCUCCUAAAGUCUUUCACUAGCAACCAUGAGUUAAAAUCUUUUAAUGGUUUAGGACACAGUUCUAGUCCACAGGAGAUGCAGGAUGUCCAAGUAUUUAUAGACAAAGUCUUACCACAUGAAUGAUGUUAGAUGAUUACAUACCAGUGUCUCAGUCAUUGAAGAUAUUCCCAUUCACAGAAUAAGCAUCAUUGGAUCAUAAUGUUGAAAUAGACAAACUACAAAUCUACAAUAUUCUGUUCACACAAUAAGCAUCAUUGGACCAUAAUGUUGAAAUAGACAAACUGCAAAUCUACAAUAUUCUGUUCACACAAUAAGCAUGAUUGGAUCAUAAUGUUGAAAUGGACAAACU
rnacentral:misc_RNA from 1 species